rnacentral:rRNA from 1 species
GACGAACGCUGGCGGCGUGCUUAACACAUGCAAGUCGAACGGAAAGGCCCUGCUUUUGUGGGGUGCUCGAGUGGCGAACGGGUGUGUAACACGUGAGUAACCUGCCCUUGACUUUGGGAUAACUUCAGGAAACUGGGGCUAAUACCGGAUAGGAGCUCCUGCUGCAUGGUGGGGGUUGGUAAGUUUCGGCGGUUGGGGAUGGACUCGCGGCUUAUCAGCUUGUUGGUGGGGUAGUGGCUUACCAAGGCUUUGACGGGUAGCCGGCCUGAGAGGGUGACCGGCCACAAUGGGACUGAGAGACGGCCCAGACUCCUACGGGAGGCAGCAGGGGGGAAUAUUGCACAAUGGGCGGAAGCCUGAUGCAGCAACGCCGCGUGCGGGAUGACGGCCUUCGGGUUGUAAACCGCUUUCGCCUGUGACGAAGCGUGAGUGACGGUAAUGGGUAAAGAAGCACCGGCUAACUACGUG